rfam:Paenibacillus rhizosphaerae strain FSL R5-0378 NODE_3_length_577972_cov_1.55763_ID_3966, whole genome shotgun sequence.
UACAUCCUGCGAUGUUCGCCACGGUUAAUCGUUGUUUUGAACCAAUGAUAAUGUCUGAGGGAGAUCUAUAUGAAGCGCAGCUGAAACGCCCUGUCUAUAUGACAUGGGGACUUCAAAACCGCUUAUGCGAUCACCCACCUGCUAGAGCAGGUUCAGAAGACAAUUUAACCGGACGGCAUAGGCGGGUUUUUA